GAUGAACGCUGGCGGCGUGCCUAAUACAUGCAAGCCGAGCGAACAGAUGAGUAGCUUGCUCCUCUGACGUUAGCGGCGGACGGGUGAGUAACACGUGGAUAACCUACCUAUAAGACUGGGAUAACUUCGGGAAACCGGAGCUAAUACCGGAUAAUAUAUUGAACCGCAUGGUUCAAUAGUGAAAGACGGUUUUGCUUUCACUUAUAGAUGGAUCCGCGCCGCAUUAGCUAGUUGGUAAGGUAACGGCUUACCAAGGCAACGAUGCGUAGCCGACCUGAGAGGGUGAUCGGCCACACUGGAACUGAGACACGGUCCAGACUCCUACGGGAGGCAGCAGUAGGGAAUCUUCCGCAAUGGGCGAAAGCCUGACGGAGCAACGCCGCGUGAGUGAUGAAGGUCUUCGGAUCGUAAAACUCUGUUAUUAGGGAAGAACAAAUGUGUAAGUAACUAUGCACGUCUUGACGGUACCUAAUCAGAAAGCCACGGCUAACUACGUG
rnacentral:rRNA from 1 species